ACGUAGGGGGCAAGCGUUGUCCGGAUUCACUGGGCGUAAAGAGCACGUAGGCGGUUAAUUAAGUCAGGUGUGAAAGUUUUCGGCUCAACCGGAAAAGUGCACUUGAAACUGGAUAACUUGAGUAUCGGAGAGGUAAGCGGAAUUCCUAGUGUAGCGGUGAAAUGCGUAGAGAUUAGGAAGAACACCGGUGGCGAAGGCGGCUUACUGGACGAUAACUGACGCUGAGGUGCGAAAGCGUGGGGAGCGAACAG
rnacentral:rRNA from 1 species